rnacentral:rRNA from 1 species
UACGUAGGGGGCAAGCGUUGUCCGGAUUUAUUGGGCGUAAAGAGCGUGUAGGCGGCCUGAAAGGUCAGCUGUGAAAACUCGAGGCUCAACCUCGAGACGUCGGUUGAAACCAUCUGGCUAGAGUCCGGAAGAGGAGUGUGGAAUUCCCGGUGUAGCGGUGAAAUUCGUAGAUAUCAGGAGGAACACCAGUGGCGGAAGGCGGCUUUCUGGACGA